rnacentral:misc_RNA from 1 species
GAUGAAGAACGUAGCGAAAUGCGAUACGUAAUGUGAAUUGCAGAUUUCAGUGAAUCAUCGAAUCUUUGAACGCACAUUGCGCCCGCUAGUAUUCUGGCGGGCAUGCCUGUUCGAGCGUCAUUUCAACCAUCAAGCCCUGUGCUUGUGUUGGAGCCCUGCGGCUGCCGCAGGCUCCCAAACCCAGUGGCGGGCUCGUCGUCGUACCGAGUGCAGUAAACAUACCACGCUCAGGGCACGCGACGGGUGACCGGCCGUAAAACCCCCCCCCUUCUCAAGGUUGACCUCGGAUCAGGUAGGAAUACCCGCUGAACUUAAGCAUAUAAUAAGCGGAGGA